rnacentral:rRNA from 1 species
AGAGUUUGAUCCUGGCUCAGGAUGAACGCUAGCUACAGGCUUAACACAUGCAAGUCGAGGGGAAACGAUAGGGAAAGCUUGCUUUUCCUAGGCGUCGACCGGCGCACGGGUGAGUAACGCGUAUCCAACCUGCCCAUGUCUGGGGAAUAACCCGUCGAAAGGCGGACUAACUCCCCAUGGUCUCCGAUGAGGACAUCUGAAUUGGAGUAAAGCUUCGCGGACAUGGAUGGGGAUGCGUCUGAUUAGGUAGUAGGCGGGGUAACGGCCCACCUAGCCUACGAUCAGUAGGGGUUCUGAGAGGAAGGUCCCCCACAUUGGAACUGAGACACGGUCCAAACUCCUACGGGAGGCAGCAGUGAGGAAUAUUGGUCAAUGGACGAGAGUCUGAACCAGCCAAGUAGCGUGCAGGAUGACGGCCCUAUGGGUUGUAAACUGCUUUUAUAAGGGAAUAAAGUGAGUCUCGUGAGACUUUUUGCAUGUACCUUAUGAAUAAGGACCGGCUAAUUCCGUGCCAGCAGCCGCGGUAAUACGGAAGGUCCGGGCGUUAUCCGGAUUUAUUGGGUUUAAAGGGAGCGUAGGCCGUGAGGUAAGCGUGUUGUGAAAUGUAGGCGCCCAACGUCUGCACUGCAGCGCGAACUGCCCCACUUGAGUGCGCGCAACGCCGGCGGAACUCGUCGUGUAGCGGUGAAAUGCUUAGAUAUGACGAAGAACCCCGAUUGCGAAGGCAGCUGGCGGGAGCGUAACUGACGCUGAAGCUCGAAAGCGCGGGUAUCGAACAGGAUUAGAUACCCUGGUAGUCCGCGCGGUAAACGAUGGAUGCCCGCUGUGGCGCGCCUGGCGUGCCGCGGCUAAGCGAAAGCAUUAAGCAUCCCACCUGGGGAGUACGCCGGCAACGGUGAAACUCAAAGGAAUUGACGGGGGCCCGCACAAGCGGAGGAACAUGUGGUUUAAUUCGAUGAUACGCGAGGAACCUUACCCGGGCUUGAACUGCCAGUGACACAUGCAGAGACGCAUGUUUCUUCGGACACUGGCGGAGGUGCUGCAUGGUUGUCGUCAGCUCGUGCCGUGAGGUGUCGGCUUAAGUGCC